rnacentral:rRNA from 1 species
GACGAACGCUGGCGGCGUGCUUAACACAUGCAAGUCGAGCGGUAAGGCCCUUUCGGGGGUACACGAGCGGCGAACGGGUGAGUAACACGUGGGUGACCUGCCCUCAGCUCUGGGAUAAGCCUGGGAAACCGGGUCUAAUACUGGAUAUGACUCCAUGACGCAUGUUGUGGAGUGGAAAGCCUUGUGCGGCUGAGGAUGGGCCCGCGGCCUAUCAGCUUGUUGGUGGGGUGAUGGCCUACCAAGGCGACGACGGGUAGCCGGCCUGAGAGGGCGACCGGCCACACUGGGACUGAGACACGGCCCAGACUCCUACGGGAGGCAGCAGUGGGGAAUCUUGCGCAAUGGGCGAAAGCCUGACGCAGCGACGCCGCGUGAGGGAUGACGGCCU